UACGUAGGGGGCAAGCGUUGUCCGGAAUCAUUGGGCGUAAAGCGCGUGUAGGCGGCCCAGUAAGUCCGCUGUGAAAGCCCGGGGCUCAACCCCGGAACGGCAUCCGAUACGGGGCGGCUCGAGACCGAGAGAGGUGAGUGGAAUACCCAGUGUAGAGGUGAAAUUCGUAGAUAUUGGGUGGAACACCGGUGGCGAAAGCGGCUCACUGGCUCGGUUCUGACGCUGAGGCGCGAAAGCGUGGGGAGCAAACAGG
rnacentral:rRNA from 1 species